UCGGAUAUGGUGUAGCGGCUAACAUUGCUGCCUCUCAUCUCAUCGGGAGUCUGUCCGCAGCAGCUCGGGGUUCGAUUCCCCGUAUCCGAA
rfam:Coprinopsis cinerea okayama7#130 chromosome 2 cont3.2, whole genome shotgun sequence.